CUUUCUCUCUCCUCGAUCAGAUUUCUCGAAACAAUUUUUCGUUCUUCAAAUUACUCCGUAAUCCAUUAAUCUUUCUUCGUUUAAUCAAUUAAUCCUAAUCGUUCUUCAAAUUCAUUGAUUAAUUGUUCAGUGAUUUAUUUGAUUCACGUCGAUUCUUGAUUUCUUUAUUUUUUGGAGAUUCAAUCGAUUACGGAGGACUUUUGCAGUGCUCUGAUGUGCGGACUAAUGGUUUGGUCUUGAUUGAGUCGGAUGUUCUGCACGGUUCAGCAGGCUGAUAGGGCUAUAUAAGAUGGCUGCGCCGCGGUUUGGCAAUCCAAAUUUUAUGGUGUGUUCAUAUAAUUUGUACUUCACAGUGAAAAAAUUUACUUACAGUAUAUGUGCUAUUGGUGAGUUUUAUGAUAUGUGGAUGAGAAAGUGGUAGUAUUAGUUUGUAUGGUCGGUGUGUUGAGGAGAAUGGAGUGUUUUCCUUAGUUUUGUGAAUUGGUCUUGUUAGUCGACCUUUGCCAUGUCGGGUGCGCUUGCAUGGCAGGUCAUCAAUGUUAAUAAAAAGAUCUUUUUUGUGGUUUUGUUGGGAGAUGGCAUGGGGUUUUUCCCGGCUCUCCCAACCGUGUGCGUGUUGUGUCUGUUUUUUUUGUAUUUUUCUCCCUUUCCCUGCACCCUUAUGCGCUUGAAUCAUCAAACUCCACGCUAUUGCCACCAGUAUAGAGCAAAUUCACUGUCAAAACGAUUUCUUUGUAGAAAAUUUAUGCCAAAUCCAAUUUUGCCAAGGUAUAUUUAUCAAAAUCAUUUUUAAGUUCCCUAUUUUAUUACUCAGUACAAUUUAUAUUGCAGUGUUAUCUGCAAAGGUUAAGGUGGUGUCGUUAUUCUUCAUUUGUCCCUUGACAUCAAGGAGUUAUAUAAUUGUUGUCCCUGCUCUUUGAAUCUUUCUAAAUUAGGAUUCCUACAAUUGUCUUGAAUUGUACAGUGCAUAUAUUGAGAAAUUCUGCUUCUUUAGAACUUAAUUUAUAUUCAGAAAGUCAAGCAUACAAAACUUACUUCAUGAACAUUCUUAUGUGGAAAGCUACAUACAGAUCUCUAUCUUAUUGCAUAUAUGUAUAUAAGAUGUGAUUACUCUGAUUAAGCAACUUCAACGCAAUUUGUAGAGGGUAUUGCUAAAUAGAAUAUGUGAUUACUACUUUGUUAGCUGUACAGAUAGGUCAUAUAUGCCGCUGGCCACUGGAUUGUAUGAUGUACUGAUCCUUGGUUAUAUGUACUACACUAACCAUCUCUAUGUGUACGCUGCACCUAUUCAUUAUAUGUGUACGUUGUUACUCCAUACGGAUUAUAUUUUUUGAUUGGAUAUCCUUUGGGGUUAUUUGGUAAUGUGUCCCAACCUUGGAAAUAUUUAGUUUCAUAGCUUCAUCCAUCAUAAUCCUUGAAGUAGAUUCUAAGUUUAUUUGUUAUGCAUUCAGUUCAGGCAACUUGAUGCUCAAAUUAAUUUAAACAGUCUAUUACCGAGCAAUAUUUGAAUUAUUUUUUAUUUCUGAUCUUUGUUGCCUGUGUUUUGCAUUUUACAUCACUGUCAACUGAGAACAAGGGUGUUGAGUCUUGCAUGUGUUUGCAAUUAGUGGUGUAAUAGAAAUUGUAUAAUUCUCUGUAGUCUGUAUACACUUUUGUAUUAGAAUUUUUUCUACAGGUUUUAUACAUACUAGGUGCCAGACUGUUUGAUUCUCUAAUGUUCUGUGGCCAUUGGCCAAGUUGCUGUUCUGAUUCAAAGAAUCUCAUCGGCACAAGUUUACAACUGUAGCCAUUCGUUAGUUAUGCAUUAGAUCGUUCGCCUACCAAUGAGGCACUAUCAAAACUCUCAUUAGAAAGCUCUGAUAGUUUGGUGACAACACUUAUUUACAGUCGAAUGUAAACUGAAAAUGUUCUCUUAACGCCAAAGCAUUCAAGAAUAAUUGAAGUAUUGAUUGUUGAUGCUUAAUGUGUUUUGCUAAUGUCACAACUUCAACGAUUCAACGCUUAUUAGCUGUUGUCAAAGUGCACCUAUCAAUAAUAUUCCUUGAUUGAUUUUGUUUAUUGUGA